rnacentral:lncRNA from 1 species
ACAUUUGGUGCCCAGAGAGAAAAUAAGGAUGAAAUAAAGACAUUCAGUUAACUUAUGAUACACUUACAGAUUUUUCUGGCAUCAAUAAAGAAAGGACUUAUAUCCAGCAGAAACUGAUGAAUGCUUAUUUAUUUACAGGUAAAAGUUGAUAGACAUCAUAGUCCUCUAUUCUGCUACUUUUAAAUCUCUGUUCUGUUUCUUUUACAU